AGGCUUGGCUGAUCGCCGGAUCUGCUACACACAGGAACGUUUGGGUGCUGCACAUCUCCCCUUGCCCCCCACAUUCACAGCUGGCAGAUGGCUGCAGGAGCCUUUAGCUUCAUCAAGGCCGUUGCAUCAAGCUGAUAAGUGAUCAGCUGUUCCAAAGAAGACACGAGACGUUCAGCACCUCCAGCCUACUGCAACAUGUUGGUUCCUCCUCCAGAAGGCACUGAGCACUGGCUUAACACAGGAAACAACAUCCUAACGCAGAGAUUUACUGUGACACACACAGAAAUACCUGCUGACUGGCACAGCUUCUUAGUACAGCUCUCAGUUUUUCAGCGGUGGUGAUCACAGCAGCAAUGGUUAGCAUUUCUACAAGUAGCACAUAAAUGUACGGAUGUCAGAACGUCCAGAAAACAUGCAAAAUCUCAACAGCAACACCACCGAAUGACACAAUGCAUAGAAAUAUAAUUGUUUGGCAAAACAGUGGAUCUUUUAACAGCCUUUUUAUAUAAAACAAAGGAAUUAAAAUCUACAUUUUUUAAAAACUGUUCUUAAAAAAGUUGAGUUUAGGCAGAGCUAGAAAAGUCGGCAUGUGGAAGUUAGCCUUAGACACAGGUUCAACUCUGAGAAUCAAUUGGUCACUUGCAGGAAUUCUCACACUUUGCUAGUUGAUUAUGUACUGCGCUAGCUAUGUUUAAGCAAAACGUGCUUUUGAACUGCUAUUUUGUGAGAGAGAGUCCUAAUCUUGUCAAUUUUCAGGAUGGGAGAAAACACAUUCACAUUAAAAGAUUAGAAAGAUUAAACGCUGCAUGCGGGGAAAGAUAAAAGCUUUACUUCAGCUGUUUUUCCCUAACGCUACUCACCACGAUAGCUGGGGUUGUCAUAGCAAAAACGUUUUUCAAAGGCAGAAUUAAAGUCAGCAGAUAAUUAAAACAAAUGGAAAAGAUUUUCUAAUUCCAGUGUAAAACGAAGUAGGAUAUUAAAGGAUGGCUUAAAGAUGAGGAUUACGCUU
ensembl:lncRNA